UCAAUAGCCCAUAUAGGUUAAAUUAGGGUUUUAAUCGCAGACGAAUAGAUGAGGGCACAAGGCGAAUCACAGACAACCCAAACCCUCUUAUCUUUCUUUUUUCACACCUAGGGUUCACAUCGCAGGCAAGCUUCUCCAGUUCCGCCCUUCUCCUUCGCGAACCAUCCAGACGACUCCCCAUAAGAUUCUUUUGAGAAUUUGUUAUGGAUAAGACAUAGAGCAAAAUGGAAGUUGUGUCAGUUCCCCAAACUGUUCCAGCUACUACUACUGAUGUAUCAGUUAAAGAGGAGAAUAGAGAAGAAACUCGUCCUCCAAAGGAUGUAACAAUCAAACAGGAAGAGACACAAGAAAUUCCGGAGGACACUGAUCUUGAUGAUGACAAAUGGUGGUGUGACAAUAUAGAUGACAUCCUUCAAAUGUUUAACCCGUAUGAUUACUAAAUUGAUCUCAUGAUAAUGCAAAGUACUUGACACUUGAGCUUUUAGUUUUCAACUUUUAUGUUUAAGAAUUAUAUUUCUUUAUUCCUGUGCUACUUUAUAUAACUUUUAUUUAUGUUUAAGACUUACUACCUUCGUC